rnacentral:rRNA from 1 species
GACGAACGCUGGCGGCGUGCUUAACACAUGCAAGUCGAACGGAAAGGCCCUGCUUGCAGGGUACUCGAGUGGCGAACGGGUGAGUAACACGUGGGUGAUCUGCCCUGCACUUCGGGAUAAGCCUGGGAAACUGGGUCUAAUACCGGAUAGGAGCCAUUUUUAGUGUGAUGGUUGGAAAAUUUUUUCGGUGUAGGAUGAGCUCGCGGCCUAUCAGCUUGUUGGUGGGGUAAUGGCCUACCAAGGCGGCGACGGGUAGCCGGCCUGAGAGGGUGGACGGCCACAUUGGGACUGAGAUACGGCCCAGACUCCUACGGGAGGCAGCAGUGGGGAAUAUUGCACAAUGGGCGCAAGCCUGAUGCAGCGACGCCGCGUGGGGGAUGACGGCCUUCGGGUUGUAAACUCCUUUCGCUAGGGACGAAGCUUUUUGUGACGGUACCUAGAUAAGAAGCACCGGCUAACUACGUG